rnacentral:rRNA from 1 species
AUUGAACGCUGGCGGCAGGCCUAACACAUGCAAGUCGAGCGGAUGAAGGGAGCUUGCUCCUGGAUUCAGCGGCGGACGGGUGAGUAAUGCCUAGGAAUCUGCCUGGUAGUGGGGGAUAACGUCCGGAAACGGGCGCUAAUACCGCAUACGUCCUGAGGGAGAAAGUGGGGGAUCUUCGGACCUCACGCUAUCAGAUGAGCCUAGGUCGGAUUAGCUAGUUGGUGGGGUAAAGGCCUACCAAGGCGACGAUCCGUAACUGGUCUGAGAGGAUGAUCAGUCACACUGGAACUGAGACACGGUCCAGACUCCUACGGGAGGCAGCAGUGGGGAAUACUGGACAAUGGGCGAAAGCCUGAUCCAGCCAUGCCGCGUGUGUGAAGAGGGUCUUCGGAUUGUAAAGCACUUUAAGUUGGGAGGAAGGGCAGUAAGUUAAUACCUUGCUGUUUUGACGUUACCAACAGAAUAAGCACCGGCUAACUUCGUG